rnacentral:rRNA from 1 species
GAAGAAGCACCGGCUAACUCCGUGCCAGCAGCCGCGGUAAUACGGAGGGUGCAAGCGUUAAUCGGAAUUACUGGGCGUAAAGCGCACGCAGGCGGUCUGUCAAGUCGGAUGUGAAAUCCCCGGGCUCAACCUGGGAACUGCAUUCGAAACUGGCAGGCUUGAGUCUUGUAGAGGGGGGUAGAAUUCCAGGUGUAGCGGUGAAAUGCGUAGAGAUCUGGAGGAAUACCGGUGGCGAAGGCGGCCCCCUGGACAAA